UACGUAGGGUGCAAGCGUUAAUCGGAAUUACUGGGCGUAAAGCGUGCGCAGGCGGUUUUGUAAGUCUGUCGUGAAAGCCCCGGGCUCAACCUGGGAAUUGCGAUGGAGACUGCAAGGCUAGAGUGUGUCAGAGGGGGGUAGAAUUCCACGUGUAGCAGUGAAAUGCGUAGAGAUGUGGAGGAACACCGAUGGCGAAGGCAGCCCCCUGGGUCAAGAUUGACGCUCAUGCACGAAAGCGUGGGGAGCAAACAGG
rnacentral:rRNA from 1 species